UUAAUCCCUCUGUAAUACUAUUCUAAAAGAAAAGAAGAAAAAAUUCACCAAUUUCUGUUGUCGUUUUUUUCCUCUCUCUCUCUCUCUCUCUCUCUUUUUUUGCCAACUUUUUUUUUCUUGAUAUAUAUUGCCCGAUGCACACUCGCCUUCCUCCCGCAUUAUUUGUUCAUCGUCUUGCGACUUCACGAACGCGGGAAGUGACAAUUUUUAAUGCCUUUUUUUUCAACGAUUGCGUUGGCGAAGAAAAACCGUUGGAGGUGAAAGAUUAUCGUAUCAAUUCGAAACAGUAUCGUGUAUUUUAACGUUUCUCCUUGAUUUAUUGAUUCCCAAAUCGUGGAGAAUGAAACUUGGAGGGAGAAAUCUAUAGCGCAAUUGAAAUCGUGCUGAUUCGAAAUGACUGAAUCAUUCUAUUCUCAAUUAUUUCUACGCUCGAGAUCAUCCUGGAAUCUCGGUUGCGUUGAGGUUGAUACGAUAAUCCGAGGACCGAGUGAUCGGCAAGAAUCAUGUGCGCUCGUGACUCCCUCGGUGGCGGGGAAAUAAAACCGCCUCGUUUUCUCGACGUUUACUCAAAUCGAAGUAAUUCGCGAGUGCGAAUGUCCUCGCAAAUUACUGUAGCGAAUGGCCGGACGAAAACACGGUUACGGACGAAAAAAGGGGUCUCGAGAGCUCACCGAGUCCGUGAGAAGCAACGCUGCCAUCGUGUAACUCGAUGACGAUGCGGAGGAAAAGUCCAAGUCAAAUGGGGGAAGAGAAGCUGAGAGGCUGCGACUCUCCUGCUCCGUAUGGCCCGGAAGUCGAAUGCGAAGGUUUGGAUUGUCCGUGCGCGGGAGCGGCAACGAAGUUGAAUGGGAUUUGGCACCGAGGCAGAAGGCAGAUGAAAAAACGAGAAGAGUGAAAAACGACACCCAUCCGGACUGUGCGACUCUCAUUUUUCGUUUUUUCCUUAACUCUCAAAUUUAAUUUUUCAUUUAUUUCAAUUAGCUCUGGAUUAAAAACAAAGUGUUUUCGUAACAUAGACUGUAAGCGCUUGCUGGGCUGUGGUGUUCCACAAUCCAAGGUCACCCGAUUGCCACGGUCAAGACUCCUCGAAAACCUGAAAAUAUCGAUCAGCAACGCAAAUUACGUAAAAAGAGUCCUCUCCGGCUGACUUCGAACGCGCUAAUCGCGACCCGGCAGUCCAGUGACCUUGCCACAUAUAACCACAUCUAACAACAGACAAACAAACAGAUAUGACAUUGAAAUUGAAUCCUCGAAGUUUGUAAGUGUCUCCGUCGCUCUAGCGAAUUACAAGACUGUACGUUUUUCUCUGAAUAUACCCGCAAAUGUGUGUAUUCACACGUAUUUUUGGCAAAAUCAAGACCAUCCAUUUUUCUCUCUACAGUCGAAUCCCCUUAUGAGCCCCGUUCUCGACGCGGAGAGUCUCCCCCAUUCUGAAGCGUUUUGGGGGCGUGGUUUAGCAGAUCGACUGGGAAUGAGGGUCCAUUUUUGAUGUGCAUCGUUAUAGAAAUAGUCCAGUCGAGAUAGACAUUGAAAUAGAAAAAAUUAGGGAAAAAAAUUUGCAGAUAGUACGACUCUGCAAAUAUUGAUCCUAGCGUAAAAAUGAUAAUGACCAAACUUGUGGGAAAUCAAAUUUCCAACAACUUUGGAUACCACCAUUUUUGCUCUAAAAUUGAAAAUUAACGAGUUAUUUCUGAAAAACGAAAAAAUUGAACUUCAAAUCGAGAUGGCGGCGAAUGCACAGGCAGGAUUGCGCCGAAAAUCGAUAUUUAGACUUCCACCCCUCCCCCUCCCGACGUUAAAAAAAAAUCGCUGCCCCUAAUUUUUUCUAUUUAAGGCUGUUUUUAUGUCUAUCUCGACUGGACUAAAAAGCCUGGCGAGCGAGUGCUUUUGAGCAGUUGAAGCUAUUUGGCCAGCAGAGGUCAGUGUGCGACUUGUGAGUUCCCAAUAAGCUCGGAGCAAAUUUCUGACUUCAAAUCGAUUUAUAUUAUGGAAUAUAUCGAUUCUGGUAUCGUGUACAGAUGCAUAAUGACGCGGGGGGGCUUAAAUUUCGCCCGCAGCCCUUCGGCAGGCUUACAAAGGGAUUGGACUGUACCAAUAUCGGCAGUGGCCGUUUCUCGAUCGUAGCGCAACGCUGAAAAUAUCGUUUGGGAGAAAAUACGUUUUCGACGGUCCUCGGAACGCGGAUGGGAAUUGAAAAAAUUUUAAUCGCGAACAACCGUCCGAUAUAUUCGUUUCGUGAUCGCGAAUUCGAGAGGCGGCCACGACCGAUGGGAAUAAUUGUUAACCGUUAAGUAUCGCUCGUAAAGCAAUAAGCUAGGGCUUCAUUGUAAGAAUGUCGUUAAAAAUUGGAAAGUCUAAGUAAGCAUCCUCGAUUCGCUGAGAGGAAUCUUCAUUUCGGAGUAUCUUUUCGUUUCCUCGUUUAAAUUUGAUUUUCUAGCACCAAAGCCCCUUUUGAAAACCCUCUCUCGUUACCGUCACACACCGAGACCACAACCGGCACCACCACAACCACCACCGACCAUCAUUACCACCACCAAAAUGAAACAUCACAUCACUACAAUAUCUCUCGACACUGUAGCUCUCAUUGGGUUAUCUCAAAACAAUGAUCCUCAAACCUCUCGUCGUUCUGAUGUAACCAACGAUUUAUUUCCACACACCCCCCCCCCCCCCCCAGCCCUCAGCCCUCACUCUUACUCUCAGUGUUUCUACUUUUCCAGCCCAUUUCCACUGUGUAUCGCAUAUUAUCGGUGUGACGGUAUAUCUUUCGUUAUUGGUAACAAAAUUUUUCGUUUUUCACUCUUUAUCAUGCCUCGUAGCAGCUUGAAGGACGCUUGUGUCGCCCAAAUUUUAGUCCAACACUCCGACAAACGUCACGAUAAAUCUGUUCAUUUUUAGUCUCAUAUUCACCGAGAAAAUGGUGGCUUCCGAAUACUCGAUUCGCCCGUGUCUUUUGUUUAACUUUCGCAACUCUGUCGUUUGACUAAUUUGGAGAAAAGUUGCGUCAGCCUCCCUCGCUGCGGAGUUGACUCGAAGCAAAGACUUUUGAGAAACGUGCGGCUAAAACAUCGAGCAAACGUCAGUCGAGAUAAACUCGCCAGUUUUCACCGUCCAGGGCGAAACGGAAUUGCCAUUCGGGCGCGAACUCUUAGUACACGAAAAUCCACUUUUCUCGGUGCAUGUGAUUCUCGGCUUCGGCAUCACACACGCACACACCUCUGUAGACUCUGACAAGAUUUGCUGCAGCUGUGUCGCUUACGAUCCUUGUUCAAUGGCAACGAAUACUUGAUUUAGCAAUGGAUGUAUGUCUGCGUAUCUGUCAAAUACUAUAUGCAAGUAAUAAAUGCGAUUUUAUGCAUAAGUGAAUAUAAAUAUUUGUUGAAAGCGUCCUUAAAGUCGAUUAUGAAGUUUCUCGAGUGAGCAGAUCGCCAAAUUGCGAAGGGAAUUUCCUCGAACUGGUUUCUCUUCGAUGCGCCGUUCAGGGAACAUGAAUUUGGAAAAAUCGCGGUCAAGCCCCACCAGAACUUUUGCAAUUUCUUGAGACCGAUUUUUCUAUAUUUAUUUUAAAAAAUCUUAAUCGGAGAGAAACGUUUCUUGGUCACUUUCCCUUUCGGAAUUCAGCGAGCUCUUCACCCUCGAAAUUUCGAUCUCAAUUUUCAGGACACCCUGCAAAUGUAUGUUCAUUCGUGUACUCGUACGUAGCACUCCUUAAAUCACGCCUCGAUUCCCUCUUGAAUAACCAAGUUGCACACACUGUCUCUGUCCUCGUAUUUGUUUCCUUUAAAAAUAAUGUUUUCAGUCUGAAUUAUCUUGCGUCAUAAAUCCUGGACCACGAUUCACCUUCUUCUUCUUCUUCAUCUUCUCUCUCUCUCUUCUUAUUCUUCCUCUUCUCCGUCACGAUCGUUUUGUCAUUGCGAAUAUAUUCAUGGAUUUAAAUUCAAGACGAAGUGAAAUUUUCACCAGCUCGACGUAAACUCGUGUCGUAACAAACGAUUAAAUAUAUAGGCGAGCCACAAAAACGACCGACGGUGACCCAAGGUAUUCAAAUUGUCGAUUAUUGAACAGUAGAUCCGCCAGUUCCCAGAUCAAAGCGACACGUUCGAUUCCCAUUUUUGCUCUAGCUGUGUCGAUUUUUAUUUUUCACCAUUUCUCUUCAUUUCGAGUCUAUUUUUAUACGAAAUUUUUGAAUCCACUUCGAGUGAACUCCUUCGAAAGAAGUGCUGAUCGGACGAUGGGCCUGAGUCGAUGCUAACUCAAAUUUUUCCAUCAAAGUUCAUUUUUUUUCUUCAAAAUGUCGAACAAAUUUUCACGUUUCAGUUCCGGAUUACCUUUUUAAAGGAAAAUUAAGAAAAACAAACAAACGAAUUCAAAUCUCAGAUGAGGCUAUUGGUGGAAAAUAAGAUCCAAAUUUCUUCCUCCGUUUUUUCAAUAUUCAUUCCCAAUCUGACUUUUCUCCAAAGCUCAAACUUCUUCAAAAUUCCUCUCUUAUGAACUAUCGUCUGGAAGAAUAAAAAUUUGAUGGAUUUCUGAAAACUAGUGUUUUUCGCAUAAAAUUAUUAUUUGUAUUACAAUUAUUAUUAUCAUUAUUUAUUUUUUUAUUCCUUUUUUUUUUUCAAUCGUUGCUGCAUUGUUAUAUUUUUAUUUGAUUUAUAGUAGUUUGAUUAUUUUGCAACCGUGAGUCUUGCCUGGAAAGUAAUGGUAGAAACGUAGAAAAAAAUACGUAGUCAAUCACUCGGAUUAUUCGUGUUAGAAUAUUAAAAAAAAAAAAAAAAAUGGCGUUUUUCA